CCAAUCUGGCACCAGUGCACUAACCUCGCCAUCAAUCAUCUCAGCAAUUCGAGUAACCUCAUGGUCAGUUAUAUCUAGCUCGGCUACCAUCUCAGUUGCAACACUCAAUGCGGUAUCGGCCUCUAUGUCAAAAGGAAAAUAGAUGUUCCGUACAUGCCCUGCAAAGUGAGAAAUUAGAUAUCAAGAAUAAUACAAUUUGGCAUUUUUUUGUCAAUACCAUCAGCUUUAAUGUCAUCAUCUUCACAAUCCCAUCUAUCUUCCGUUGGUGUAUCCUCGUCAAUGCUUUCAGAUAAUCCAUUACUCAUCAUGGAGACAUUACUAUAAGCGUGUUCUAAAUAAGGCUGCCGCAGAUAGUUCAUCAGGCUGUAAUCUCCAUCACCCGGACAAAAGACCAAAUCGUCAACCUGCAGGAAUGGGUCCUUGAGCAGCUCUCUCGCUGAGAGCCUCCGGGAUGCAGUGGCCAGGCAUUUCUCGACGAACUGCCUCACCAUCGGAUCUUUGACCUUGAUCCAGGAGGCAAUUCUUACAGAGAUCACUUUCUUGUAGAUCUGCACCGGGUGCGUGCACUCGCUAUACGGGUACUCGAAGGUGACCAUCUCAAGCACGCACAUCCCGAACGAGUAUAUGUCCACCAGCUCGUUGUACUCCUCCUCGUACACCUCUGGCGCCAUGAACUCCGGCGUGCCUAUACGCAGUGGACGGCGUGGGACUUGCGGAGGAUGGCGGCAAGGCCAAGGUCACCGAUCUUGACCUCCCCCUGGUUCCCAUUCACGAAGAUGUUGUCACACUUCAGGUCCCGGUGGAUGAUGGGUGGAUCAUGGCUAUGCAAGUACAGCAAUCCACUCAGAAUCUGCCUGCACCAGUGCUUCACCGCCCAUAUGUUCACCCUCAUGUGCUUCUGCCUAUACCUAAUCAGGUGCCGGAGGUGAACAUCUCGGUGAUGAAGUUGAUGUUGCGGCGGGAGACGUCGACCCAGGAGGUGUAGAACUUCAUGAUGUUGCGGUGCUUGAGCGUCUUGAGGAGGUGGAUCUCGCAGUAGAGCCGCUCCAGGUCCUCUGGGCUCUGCAGGAAGUCGUGCAGCUUCACCUGGUUCCACGCCACCUCCAUCCCCUGGUACUCGUCGAACGCCCUGUACCUGCACACCACCACCCCUCGCGAGAUGGUGCCGUACCCGUCCGUACCGGCCGGUGGGAUCGACCUCGGCGUACUCCGGGAGGUCGCCGGCGGCGGCGGCG
rnacentral:sRNA from 1 species